UACGUAGGGACCAAGCGUUGUUCGGAUUUACUGGGCGUAAAGGGCGCGUAGGCGGCAAUUCAAGUCAUCUGUGAAAUCUCUGGGCUUAACCCAGAACGGCCAGGUGAUACUGCUUUGCUAGAGUGCGGAGGGGGCAAUCGGAAUUCUUGGUGUAGCGGUGAAAUGCGUAGAUAUCAAGAGGAACACCUGAGGUGAAGACGGGUUGCUGGGCAGACACUGACGAUGACAGCGCGAAAGCCAGGGGAGCAAACGGG
rnacentral:rRNA from 1 species